rnacentral:rRNA from 1 species
UACGUAGGGUGCGAGCGUUGUCCGGAAUUAUUGGGCGUAAAGAGCUUGUAGGCGGUUUGUCGCGUCUGCUGUGAAAAUCCGGGGCUCAACCCCGGACUUGCAGUGGGUACGGGCAGACUAGAGUGUGGUAGGGGAGACUGGAAUUCCUGGUGUAGCGGUGAAAUGCGCAGAUAUCAGGAGGAACACCGAUGGCGAAGGCAGGUCUCUGGGCAUUAACUGACGCUGGAGGAGCGAAAAGCAUGGGGAGCGAACAGG